UGAGAAAGAGGAAAAAAAAGAAAAGGAUAAGAAAAGCAAAAAGAUGGCCGGGCGCGGUGGCUCAAGCCUGUAAUCCCAGCACUUUGGGAGGCCGAGAUGGGCGGAUCACGAGGUCAGGAGAUCGAGACCAUCCUGGCUAACACGGUGAAACCCCGUCUCUACUAAAAAAUACAAAAAAACUAGCCGGGCGUGGUGGCGGGCGCCUGUAGUCCCAGCUAUUUGGGAGGCUGAGGCAGGAGAAUGGCGUGAACCCGGGAGGCGGAGCUUGCAGUGAGCUGAGAUCCGGCCAUUGCACUCCAGCCUGGGCGGCAGAGCGAGACUCCGUCUCAACAAAAAAAAAAAAAGAAAAAAAGAAAAGCAAAAAGAUGAGAGAAAAUAUUAAAAAAAGAAGAAAGAUGAUGAAACUGACGAGCCGAAACCCAAACGGAGAAAAUCAGGUGAUGAUAAAGAUAAAAAAGAAGAUAGAGAUGAAAGGAAGAAAGAAGAUAAAAGAAAAGAUGAUUCUAAGGAUGACGAUGAAACUGAAGAAGACAGCAAUCAAGAUGAAUAUGACCCUAUGGAAGCAGAAGAAGCUGAGAUGAAGAGAUGGUAUGAUUGAAAUUUAUUUAUUAUUUCUU
rnacentral:lncRNA from 10 species